rnacentral:rRNA from 1 species
UACGUAGGUGGCGAGCGUUGUCCGGAUUUACUGGGCGUAAAGAGCGCGCAGGCGGUCGUGCAAGUCGCGUGUGAAAGCCCCCGGCUCAACUGGGGAGGGUCACGCGAUACUGCUCGACUCGAAGGCAGGAGAGGGAAGUGGAAUUCCCGGUGUAGUGGUGAAAUGCGUAGAGAUGUGGAGGAACACCGAUGGCGAAGGCAGCCCCCUGGGUUAACACUGACGCUCAGGCACGAAAGCGUGGGGAGCAAACAGG